UGCCCUACGGGGCGCAGCAGUGGGGGAUAUUGCACAAUGGGGGAAACCCUGAUGCAGCGACGCCGCGUGUGGGAAGACGGUCCUCUGGAUUGUAAACCACUGUCCCCAGGGACGAAGAUGACGGUACCUGGGGAGGAAGCUCCGGCUAACUACGUGCCAGCAGCCGCGGUAAUACGUAGGGGGCAAGCGUUAUCCGGAUUUACUGGGUGUAAAGGGAGCGUAGACGGUGCGCCAAGUCUGGAGUGAAAUGCCGCAGCUUAACUGCGGAACUGCUUUGGAAACUGGCGAACUAGAGUGCGGGAGGG
rnacentral:rRNA from 1 species